UACGUAGGGUGCGAGCGUUAAUCGGAAUUACUGGGCGUAAAGCGUGCGCAGGCGGUCCGAUGAAGUCCGAUGUGAAAGCCCCGGGCUCAACCUGGGAAUGGCAUUGGAAACUGGCGGGCUAGAGUUUGGCAGAGGGGGGUGGAAUUCCUGGUGUAGCAGUGAAAUGCGUAGAGAUCAGGAGGAACACCGAUGGCGAAGGCAGCCCCCUGGGCUGGAACUGACGCUCAGGCACGAAAGCGUGGGGAGCAAA
rnacentral:rRNA from 1 species